rnacentral:rRNA from 1 species
CACAUUGAAACACCAGUUCUCAUACAAUCACAGAAGUUAAGCAAUGUCGAGCCUGGUCAGUAGCAAGAUGGGGGAUUGCUUGGGAAUACCAGGUGCUGUAAG